UGCGUAGGGGUUCUGAGAGGAAGGUCCCCCACAUUGGAACUGAGACACGGUCCAAACUCCUACGGGAGGCAGCAGUGAGGAAUAUUGGUCAAUGGCCGGAAGGCUGAACCAGCCAAGUCGCGUGAGGGAAUAAGGCCCUACGGGUCGUAAACCUCUUUUGUCAGGGAGCAAGGCCGCCCACGUGUGGACGGAAGGAGAGUACCUGGAGAAAAAGCAUCGGCUAACUCCGUGCCAGCAGCCGCGGUAAUACGGAGGAUGCGAGCGUUAUCCGGAUUUAUUGGGUUUAAAGGGUGCGUAGGCGGCCUGCCAAGUCAGCGGUAAAAUUGCGGGGCUCAACCCCGUACAGCCGUUGAAACUGCCGGGCUCGAGUGGGCGAGAAGUAUGCGGAAUGCGUGGUGUAGCGGUGAAAUGCAUAGAUAUCACGCAGAACCCCGAUUGCGAAGGCAGCAUACCGGCGCCCUACUGACGCUGAGGCACGAAAGUGCGGGGAUCAAACAGGAUUAGAUACCCUGGUAGUCCGCACAGU
rnacentral:rRNA from 1 species